GGUUAAGUGAAUAAGGGCGCACGGUGGAUGCCUUGGCACUAGGAGCCGAUGAAGGACGGGACUAACACCGAUAUGCUUUGGGGAGCUGUAAGUAAGCUAUGAUCCAGAGAUUUCCGAAUGGGGGAACCCAAUAUCUUUUAUAGGAUAUUACUUUUCAGUGAAUACAUAGCUGAUUAGAGGUAGACGCAGAGAACUGAAACAUCUUAGUACCUGCAGGAAGAGAAAGAAAAUUCGAUUCCCUGAGUAGCGGCGAGCGAAACGGGAAGAGCCCAAACCAACAAGCUUGCUUGUUGGGGUUGUAGGACUCCAAUAUGGUAGUCUGUUAGUAUAGUUGAAGGAUUUGGAAAAUUCCGCUAAAGAGGGUGAAAGCCCCGUAGACGAAAUGCUGACAACACCUAGGAGGAUCCUGAGUACGGCGGAACACGAGAAAUUCCGUCGGAAUCCGCGGGGACCAUCCCGCAAGGCUAAAUACUCCCUAGUGACCGAUAGUGAACCAGUACCGUGAGGGAAAGGUGAAAAGCACCCCGGAAGGGGAGUGAAAUAGAUCCUGAAACCGUGUGCCUACAACAAGUCAAAGCUCGUUAAUGAGUGAUGGCGUGCCUUUUGUAGAAUGAACCGGCGAGUUACGAUUGCAUGCGAGGUUAAGUCGAAGAGACGGAGCCGCAGCGAAAGCGAGUCUGAAUAGGGCGAAUGAGUAUGUAGUCGUAGACCCGAAACCAUGUGAUCUACCCAUGUCCAGGUUGAAGGUGCGGUAAAACGCACUGGAGGACCGAACCCACGUACGUUGAAAAGUGCGGGGAUGAGGUGUGGGUAGCGGAGAAAUUCCAAACGAACUUGGAGAUAGCUGGUUCUCUCCGAAAUAGCUUUAGGGCUAGCCUCGGAAUUGAGAAUGAUGGAGGUAGAGCACUGUUUGGACUAGGGGCCCAUCUCGGGUUACCGAAUUCAGAUAAACUCCGAAUGCCAUUCAUUUAUAUCCGGGAGUCAGACUGCGAGUGAUAAGAUCCGUAGUCGAAAGGGAAACAGCCCAGACCACCAGCUAAGGUCCCAAAAUAUAUGUUAAGUGGAAAAGGAUGUGGGGUUGCACAGACAACUAGGAUGUUGGCUUAGAAGCAGCCACCAUUUAAAGAGUGCGUAAUAGCUCACUAGUCGAGUGACCCUGCGCCGAAAAUGUACCGGGGCUAAACAUAUUACCGAAGCUGUGGACUACACCAUUAGGUGUAGUGGUAGGAGAGCGUUCUAAGGGCGUUGAAGGUCGAUCGUGAGGACGGCUGGAGCGCUUAGAAGUGAGAAUGCCGGUAUGAGUAGCGAAAGACAGGUGAGAAUCCUGUCCACCGUAUGACUAAGGUUUCCUGGGGAAGGCUCGUCCGCCCAGGGUUAGUCGGGACCUAAGCCGAGGCCGAUAGGCGUAGGCGAUGGACAACAGGUUGAUAUUCCUGUACCAGUUGUUUUUGUUUGAGCAAUGGAGGGACGCAGUAGGCUAAGGAAUGCAUGCGAUUGGAAGUGCAUGUCCAAGCAAUGAGUCUUGAGUAGAGUUAAAUGCUUUACUCUCUAAGGACAAGUUGUGACGGGGAGCGAAAUAAUAGUAGCGAAGUUCCUGAUGUCACACUGCCAAGAAAAGCUUCUAGUGAGAAAACAACUGCCCGUACCGUAAACCGACACAGGUAGUCGAGGAGAGUAUCCUAAGGUGAGCGAGCGAACUCUCGUUAAGGAACUCGGCAAAAUGACCCCGUAACUUCGGGAGAAGGGGUGCUGACUUCGGUCAGCCGCAGUGAAUAGGCCCAAGCGACUGUUUAUCAAAAACACAGGUCUCUGCAAAAUCGUAAGAUGAAGUAUAGGGGCUGACGCCUGCCCGGUGCUGGAAGGUUAAGAGGAUGGGUUAGCUUCGGCGAAGCUCAGAAUUGAAGCCCCAGUAAACGGCGGCCGUAACUAUAACGGUCCUAAGGUAGCGAAAUUCCUUGUCGGGUAAGUUCCGACCCGCACGAAAGGCGUAACGAUUUGGGCACUGUCUCAACGAGAGACUCGGUGAAAUUUUAGUACCUGUGAAGAUGCAGGUUACCCGCGACAGGACGGAAAGACCCCAUGGAGCUUUACUGUAGUUUGAUAUUGAGUGUUUGUACCACAUGUACAGGAUAGGUAGGAGCCGAUGAGACCGGAACGCUAGUUUCGGAGGAGGCGCUGGUGGGAUACUACCCUUGUGUUAUGAA
rnacentral:rRNA from 1 species